AUAGCAGUCAAGUCAGUGAAGGUUUGAUAGCAGAGCAAUUCUUGGAGUCCACAGCAACCCAGCUGUCGUAUCACGGCCUGUGUGAGCUCAACACGACAGCCAAGGAAGGAGAACUGUCUGUAUUUUUCAGGAACAACCACUUCAGCACUAUGAUAAAGCACAAGGGUCACCUUUACCUGCUGGUCACAGAUCAGGG